rnacentral:rRNA from 1 species
GACGAACGCUGGCGGCGUGCUUAACACAUGCAAGUCGAGCGAGGUCCAACCGGUGGCAACACCGGGGGAGACCUAGCGGCGAACGGGUGAGUAACACGUGAGAAACCCGCCCCCGAAGUUCGGGAUAACCCGGGGAAACCCGAGCUAAUACCGGAUACCCACGAUUGGUCGCAUGGCCGAUCGUGGAAAGAACUUCGCUUCGGGAGGGUCUCGCGGCCUAUCAGCUUGUUGGUGGGGUAACGGCCCACCAAGGCAUCGACGGGUAGCUGGUCUGAGAGGACGAUCAGCCGCACUGGGACUGAGACACGGCCCAGACUCCUACGGGAGGCAGCAGUGGGGAAUCUUGCGCAAUGGGCGAAAGCCUGACGCAGCAACGCCGCGUGCUGGAUGAAGGCCUUCGG